rnacentral:rRNA from 1 species
GCUUACACAUGCAAGUCGAGCGGGCGUACAAUACGUCAGCGGCAGACGGGUGAGUAACGCGUGGGAACAUACCUUUUGGUUCGGAACAACACAGGGAAACUUGUGCUAAUACCGGAUAAGCCCUUACGGGGAAAGAUUUAUCGCCGAAAGAUUGGCCCGCGUCUGAUUAGCUAGUUGGUGAGGUAACGGCUCACCAAGGCGACGAUCAGUAGCUGGUCUGAGAGGAUGAUCAGCCACAUUGGGACUGAGACACGGCCCAAACUCCUACGGGAGGCAGCAGUGGGGAAUAUUGGACAAUGGGCGCAAGCCUGAUCCAGCCAUGCCGCGUGAGUGAUGAAGGCCCUAGGGUUGUAAAGCUCUUUUGUGCGGGAAGAUAAUGACGGUACCGCAAGAAUAAGCCCCGGCUAACUUCGUGCCAGCAGCCGCGGUAAUACGAAGGGGGCUAGCGUUGCUCGGAAUCACUGGGCGUAAAGGGUGCGUAGGCGGGUCUUUAAGUCAGGGGUGAAAUCCUGGAGCUCAAUCCAGAACUGGCUUUGAUACUGAGGAUCUUGAGUUCGGGAGAGGUGAAGUGGAACUGCGAGUGUAGAGGUGAAAUUCGGUAGAUAUUCGCAAGAACACCAGUGGCGAAGGCGGGCUCACUGGCCCCGAUACUGACGCUGAGGCACGAAAGCGUGGGAGCAAACAGGAUUAGAUACCCUGGU